ensembl:lncRNA
AUGGCUCUCUCUUCACUGUCAGGAUUUUCCUUCCCUACCAAAGUGAUUCCCUGCUUCACUGCAGAAAAAGCCUACUAUGGAGCUAAUUGCCUUGGAGACUGAUGUUAAAGGGCUAUCAAUUGUAACAUCUCUGGUUGUUACUCAUCUCUUCAGUAAUGUUCUUGGAGAGGCAUAAUCUGACAUUUGGACUGCACUUCUUUGAGAAUAAGUCAUCAUAUCUGAACUUACCAUUAAUUUUGUGAGAAGGAACUGUCUUAUAUUCUACACCCUGCAUUAAGACCUUCACAAACAAUCGCACCUCAAACCAGUAACUGGCUGCUGUAUCACACCAGAACUGUUCUGUGGAUGCGUCCUGCUACACACAAAACAUGCUUUACAAGCUCUGAGUUAACUUCCUUACUAUGACAUAAGGGUGUUGACAGGAAAAAUCUUCAGUGGUUACUUUAGAAAACUUCAUGGCUAUGCCAGAGUAGGCCCUUAUUACAGACUGUGGUUUUAUCCUGUCUUUGAAAAUGUUUGCUUUUAAGCUCAGAUGUAUCUCAUGAGAAAAUAUUUGCAUUUCUUUCAGUCAAGUAAGACCAUCAACUUAAGACACAUUUCUUUGUUUUUUUUUUGUUGUUUGUUUGUUUUUUCCUAAUAAAAAAAUCAUUUUCUGUUAAAAUAUAUGGUAACAUCUGAUUCUUGAGCAUGUAUUUUGGUCGUGUUCUAUUUCCAGUAUUAAAUAGAAUCAAAGACUAUGCAGUGAAUAAUCAAUUGGCUACAUUUUGCCUGAACUUUGCAGGAGGCUUUAGGAAUGUCAUCAAUCCACUGUAUUUUGAGAGACUGUGGGUCAAGUUCUCCACUGAUUUAUAUACUUCAGUACAUGAAAUCCAUUAAUACCAUUCAGAUUACGCAAUAUCACAUGGAGUAGAAUUUAGAUUUAUUAUACUCUUAGUUUCAAUUUGUCUAAUUAGCUUCUAGAGAAUUAAAACAUUUUAUGUGGAACCACUGAGUUUAAUUGGAUAAAUAAGCUUUUUUUUUUUUUUUAAAUAAUAAGCUUUUUUUUCUUGUACACUCCCUAAGAAUGCCAGAGAAUCACACUGGUUUUGGAAAUACAGUAU